UACGUAGGUGGCGAGCGUUGUCCGGAUUUACUGGGCGUAAAGAGCGCGCAGGCGGUCGUUCAAGUCGCGUGUGAAAGCCCCCGGCUCAACUGGGGAGGGUCACGCGAUACUGAUCGACUCGAAGGCAGGAGAGGGUAGUGGAAUUCCCGGUGUAGUGGUGAAAUGCGCAGAUAUCAGGAGGAACACCGGUGGCGAAGGCGGGUCUCUGGGCCGAUACUGACGCUGAGGAGCGAAAGCGUGGGGAGCAAACAGG
rnacentral:rRNA from 1 species